UUGACCUCAAAUCAGGUAGGACUACCCGCUGAACUUAAGCAUAUCAAUAAGCGGAGGAAAAGAAACUAACAAGGAUUCCCCUAGUAACUGCGAGUGAAGCGGGAAGAGCUCAAAUUUAAAAUCUGGUGGUCCUCGCGGCCGUCCGAGUUGUAAUCUGGAGAAGCGUUUUCCGCGUCGGACCGUGUACAAGUCUUCUGGAAUGGAGCGUCGUAGAGGGUGAGAAUCCCGUCUCUGACACGGACCGCCGAUGCUUUUGUGAUACGCUCUCGAAGAGUCGAGUUGUUUGGGAAUGCAGCUCAAAACGGGUGGUAAAUUCCAUCUAAAGCUAAAUAUUGGCGAGAGACCGAUAGCGAACAAGUACCGUGAGGGAAAGAUGAAAAGCACUUUGGAAAGAGAGUUAAACAGUACGUGAAAUUGUUGAAAGGGAAACGUUUGAAGUCAGUCGCGUCGGUCGAGACUCAACCUUGCUCUUCUGCUCGGUGCACUUCUCGGCCGACGGGUCAGCAUCAAUUUUGACCGUCGGAUAAAGGCCGAGGGAAUGUGGCAUCUUUCGGGAUGUGUUAUAGCCUUCGGUUCGCAUACGGCGAUCGGGAUUGAGGAACUCAGCGCGCCUUCAUUGGUCGGGGCUUCGGCUCACGUUAACGCGUUUAGGAUGCUGGCAUAAUGGCUUUAAGCGACCCGUCUUGAAACACGGACC
rnacentral:rRNA from 1 species